CCUUGUGCCUAGAGUACAGGGGUCAUAAAGCCUUGGCAGGGAUGGGGUCACAAAGCCUUGCUAGAAGUGGCUUGGGAUAAUAUUAAUUUCAUAAAAUGUAAAUUAAGCUACUGAUAGUAGGGGUCACGUGGGUUUCAAGCUUUUGGGUAAGG